AGGAGGAGGAGGUAGCCAACACUGUCUUUAUAUUUAUAUAUAUAUAUAUAUAUAUAUAUAUAUUAUUAUUAUUAUUAUUAUUAUUAUUUAAUUGGGGUAGCCCCCAAAAUAUUGGGACAUAUAAAAAAAGACAACUCUGUUUCGCAGAGUAGCUGUUGACAUUAUAGGUGCACAGGAACUUUGUUGACUCUAGAGAACCUCGGGCAAAUCGCACAUCUCCGUGGCGGCGACUUUGCAUGCGAAUGUCAUCCAUAUCAACUUUCUAUGCCAGUUUCCUCGCCUACCAUGGUGACCACGGGCAACGGGGAAUUAGGAUUACAUUCCAUACAGGGACCCUGAGAAACGGCUACCACAUGCAAGGAAGGCAGUAGGCGCGCAAAUGACCCACUCCUGACGCGCGAAGGUAGUGACGACAAAUAACAAUACAGGACUCUUUAGAGGCCCUGUAAUUGUAAUGAGUCCACUUGAAAUCCUUUAAUUCUGAUCAAUUGGAGGGAAGUCUGGUGCAGAGCCACAGGCCCGU